CCUGACGGCAAUAGCGACGUGGUCCCACCUGAUCCCAUUCCGAACUCAGAAGUGAAACGC
rnacentral:rRNA from 1 species